ACCUACGAAGCCACCAAAACGAGCAGCUCAUAAAAAAACCAGAAAGGGCCUGGUAAACCAAAAAAUGUUUUCUUUAUUUCCACCUCUGAUUCCAAACCCCUUUCAGCCACCACCAGCAAUACUUCCUCCCAUCAUCCCUUCGCCACCGCCUUCAAUAUUUCCUCCUUUCUUCCCAUCACCUCCGCCUUCAAUAUUUCCUCCUGUUUUUCCGACCCCUCCACAGCCACCACCUUCAAUAUUUCCUCCAUUUUUCCCUGCACCACCAGUAGCACCUCCUCCAUCAAUAUUUCCUCCACUCUUCCCUCCAAUACCGGGAUUUAGUCCUCCGGUGGUGAUGCCACCACCGCCACCGCCACCAGUCUUCCCAUUUCUUCCACCAGGAUUCCCCGGAGUGCCGCCAGUGGCAAGGUCAAGUCAUUCAGAAGAGACAAAACAUCCUUAAUUAAAUGAAAGUCACAUGCAUCUUACUUGUACAUUAUAGUAAUAAGUAUCGGCUUGUCUGUUUAAAAGUUUGUGGUCAUUUGAAUUUUGAACAAUGUCAUUGUUGCAUUUCGCAGCAUUAUAUGUUGGUUAUGUUGGAAAAAUAUGAAGUUCCUGGCUUUAAGCAAACAUAUCAAUACUAUAUGACCUUGUUAGUUCACAAAUUUUGUAAUGGAAAAUGUUUGAUGCAUAAAAUUGGGUACUGAAUUUUUCAUAAGAUGACAUGUGCCAAGUUUUGAUUGAAACGAGUUCUUGUAUAUGCAUUAAUAAUGCCAAUGAUAAUACCACCUCACUUCUCAGGUUAUUUUAUGUAAAAUUUUGUAUUCAAUUUUGUGCAUGUAAAACUGCUCAUUUGUAAUAUCAAAUGUUUUGUCAGUGUGUACGAUGCACUUGACCAGUUGACAGUGCUGCACACAAGGUUGGCUUAGACUCCAUGACAAAACAUAAGCUGUCAGUGAGAUUGAUUUUGGGUCUUAAUUUCCAUAGACUUGAUGGCCAAAUCCCAGUUCAUGCAUACUGACGCCCAUAGUGAUAAUUUGUCAUCUCCGAGUCUGAGCUCUGAAUCUAGUAUUUCAAGGUAUUAGUAAGAAGAGGAUUUAAUCGAAACAUAUAUUAUCUCAACACUUUCACUCACGAUGACAUGCAAAAUCACAUUUGUGUGUACCAAAAAGUAAAUGUAUCAUGUAAUGAGCUACAUAUCCACAAAAUAGUAAAAAUCUGGUAUUCACAUAGUUUAACUACCAUUCUCUGGUAUUUAUUUGGAAUUUCUAUGAAUCUUGUGGGCAGUACAACUCUAUAAGCUUCUCGUGAACCAAACGGGUCCAGUUUGUGUUUCUCUGGACAAAUCCAAUCGCUUUCCUCUUUGGUUUUUAUGGAACUGACAAGCUUUACAUUCACAUUAUGUAGCAACUUUGCCGUUGGACUAGUAGUGCCUUUGCAUGAUUUACAUUAUUGAUCACCCAACUUCCCUAUCUCUGUGUGCUACCCUUCUCUGCAGAUUUUAUAUAUACUUCACAUUUGGUAUGCAUCAAACCACAUAGUCAUCAGAGUUUUUACAAUGUCUUGGCUUUUGGCUCUGGUACUUUUUUGUUUAGCUCUUCAUUCGAAUGCUAAAGCUAUUACGAAAACACAGCUUCGUUCUGCAACUGUUGUUGGCACCGUCUAUUGUCACACUUGCCUACAAAAUGAUUUCUCCGCGUUGAACCACUUCAUUUCAGGUUUAUAUCUCUAAUUUUUAAUAUCAAUUUCUUUAACAUCUGAAUAUCCGAUAUGCAUCUAAUUGCAUUUGUGUUUUAGGGGCAUUGGUGGCGGUAGAAUGUGAUGGUACCAAACCAAGCUCAAGAUUCCGGAAAGAAGUGAAAACCAACAAGCAUGGACAAUUCAAAGUAAAUUUACCAUUCCCAGUUACCAAACAUGUCAAGAACAUCAAGAAAUGCUCUGUGAACUUGGUCAGGAGCAAUAAUGCCAACUGUGCAGUGGCAUCGACAGCAACAACAUCUUCAUUUCAUCUCAAAUCAAUAAAAGCAAGAACCCACAUUUUCUCAGCUGGUUUUCUCACAUUCAAACCCCUGACACAACCAAACAUCUGUAACCAAAAACCAAAAAUUAACAGAAACUCGAAGGAUUCUGUUGAUAAUGAUCCUUCAACAUUUCCUCCUCCACUUCGCGAUCCCCCUGAUUCGUCAAUUAUACCUCCCAUAGACAAUCCAGGCCAAUUUACGCCGCUUCCAAUACUCCCAAGGCUCCCUCCUCUACCAGAAUUGCCAAACCUUCCACCUAUACUCCCACCAAAACAAGCAACUCUUAGUAAAACCAGCAGUGACUUGAUAAACGAAAAACCAUUUUUUCUUUUUCCACCUAUAUUUCCAAACCCCUUUGCGCCACCUUUAGUUCCAAACCCUUUGCAGCCACCACCAGCAAUAGUUCCUCCAGUGAUCCCUUCACCACCGCCUUCAGUGCUUCCUCCUGUUCUUCCAACGCCACCACAACCAC
rnacentral:lncRNA from 1 species